CCUACGGGAUGCACCAGUGGGGAAUAUUGGACAAUGGGCGCAAGCCUGAUCCAGCCAUGCCGCGUGAGUGAAGAAGGCCUUAGGGUUGUAAAGCUCUUUCACCGGUGAAGAUAAUGACGGUAACCGGAGAAGAAGCCCCGGCUAACUUCGUGCCAGCAGCCGCGGUAAUACGAAGGGGGCUAGCGUUGCUCGGAAUGACUGGGCGUAAAGGGCGCGUAGGCGGUUUAUGCAGUCAGAUGUGAAAUCCCCGGGCUUAACCUGGGAACUGCAUUUGAGACGCAUAGACUAGAGGUCGAGAGAGGGUUGUGGAAUUCCCAGUGUAGAGGUGAAAUUCGUAGAUAUUGGGAAGAACACCGGUGGCGAAGGCGGCAACCUGGCUCGAUACUGACACUGAGAGACGAAAGCUAGGGGAGCGAACGGGAUUAGAUACCCGCGUAGUC
rnacentral:rRNA from 1 species